UUUAUGAUUCCUUUUAGGGACUGUAACACUGGCAUAGCAAGAAACAUUAGCUGAGGGAUCAUAAAGCAACUUUCAAAUUACCAGCCAGUACUGCUGGGGCACAGAAGAAACCAUUGUGGUGCAAAGUCCACUGAGCAGAGCAUGAAUGAAGAUCUGGAACUUCUGCAUGACUCUGAAGGGAGAUCAAGUUGGCAGUGGGUCAGAACAAUAUAUUUCCUGAGCAGAACCUACACCAGUGGACAUCUGAUCACACAAAAGUCUUGUAUAUUCCAGCCCCAAUGCACUGUAUCAGAGAUACUUCUGCUGCUCUGUAUUUCCUGUGUCUGGGUUGUUGUCAGGCAGCCCCAUUUUACCCAAACAAUGCAAAUGAGCCAUAAAAUAUUGAUAAAUCUUAUCUGCACUUUUUCACCUUUUGGGGAUAAAUUCCGAUCUUCACUGCAAGUAGCAACUAUCUCCACUUAA
rnacentral:lncRNA from 1 species